AUGAACGCUGGCGGCGUGCCUAAUACAUGCAAGUCGAGCGAACGGACGAGAAGCUUGCUUCUCUGAUGUUAGCGGCGGACGGGUGAGUAACACGUGGAUAACCUACCUAUAAGACUGGGAUAACUUCGGGAAACCGGAGCUAAUACCGGAUAAUAUUUUGAACCGCAUGGUUCAAAAGUGAAAGACGGUCUUGCUGUCACUUAUAGAUGGAUCCGCGCUGCAUUAGCUAGUUGGUAAGGUAACGGCUUACCAAGGCAACGAGGCAUAGCCGACCUGAGAGGGUGAUCGGCCACACGAGAACUGAGACACGGUCCAGACUCCUACGGGAGGCAGCAGUAGGGAAUGUUCCGCAAUGGGCGAAAGCCUGACGGAGCAACGCCGCGUGAGUGAUGAAGGUCUUCGGAUCGUAAAACUCUGUUAUUAGGGAAGAACAUAUGUGUAAGUAACUGUGCACAUCUUGACGGUACCUAAUCAGAAAGCCACGGCUAACUACGUG
rnacentral:rRNA from 1 species